GGAUGCUUACACAUGCAAGUCGAACGGCAGCACGGGGGGUACCCUGGUGGCGAGUGGCGAACGGGUGAGUAAUAUAUCGGAACAUGCCCUGUAGCGGGGGAUAACGCGUCGAAAGAUGUGCUAAUACCGCAUACGCUCUACGGAGGAAAGCGGGGGUCGCAAGACCUCGCACUAUAGGAGUGGCCGAUAUCGGAUUAGCUAGUUGGCGGGGUAAAAGCCCACCAAGGCGACGAUCCGUAGCUGGUCUGAGAGGAUGAUCAGCCACACUGGAACUGAGACACGGUCCAGACUCCUACGGGAGGCAGCAGUGGGGAAUUUUGGACAAUGGGCGCAAGCCUGAUCCAGCCAUGCCGCGUGAGUGAAGAAGGCCUUCGGGUUGUAAAGCUCUUUCGGAGGAACGAAAAUGGUCCGUGCUAAUACCACGGAUUGAUGACGGUACCUGAAGAAGAAGCACCGGCUAACUACGUUGCCAGCAGCCGGGGUAAUACGUAGGGUGCACGGCGUUAAUCGGAAUUACUGGGGCGUAAAGCGGUGCGGCCAGGCAGGGUUCCUUAAGGUCACGAUGUGAAAAUCCCCGGGGCUUAACCUGGGAACUGCGU
rnacentral:rRNA from 1 species